CAGCCGCCGCGGUAAUACGUAGGUGGCAAGCGUUGUCCGGAAUUAUUGGGCGUAAAGGGCUCGCAGGCGGUUUCUUAAGUCUGAUGUGAAAGCCCCCGGCUCAACCGGGGAGGGUCAUUGGAAACUGGGAAACUUGAGUGCAGAAGAGGAGAGUGGAAUUCCACGUGUAGCGGUGAAAUGCGUAGAGAUGUGGAGGAACACCAGUGGCGAAGGCGACUCUCUGGUCUGUAACAGACGCUGAGGAGCGAAAGCGUGGGGAGCGAACAGGAUUAGAUACCCGUGUAGUCCCUGUCUCUUAUAC
rnacentral:rRNA from 1 species